UACGAAGGGGGCUAGCGUUGUUCGGAAUCACUGGGCGUAAAGGGCGCGUAGGCGGCUCGGUAAGUCAGGUGUGAAAACUCUAGGCUCAACCUAGAGACGCCACCUGAUACUGCUGUGGCUAGAGUCCGGUAGGGGAGACUGGAAUUCCUGGUGUAGCGGUGAAAUGCGCAGAUAUCAGGAGGAACACCGGUGGCGAAGGCGGGUCUCUGGGCCGAUACUGACGCUGAGGAGCGAAAGCGUGGGGAGCGAACAGG
rnacentral:rRNA from 1 species